AGUUCGCAGUAGCUCCUGCGAGAUCUAGUGCGAUUACAGCGAGACUGUUAAUAGAUACCGGUAUUAGAAUUGGAAAAUGGGAGGAGUUGACAAUGCCCAUCUUGCAAGAUAUGAGCAGAAAGAUCAUCCGAGGCCAACUUUGAAACAAUGUUUGUUUGCCCUCGCCCAACUCACAAUGAAAAUAUUGGGUCGAUAGGAAGAAUCUCCCAACUUCAUAUAAAGUUCAUUUUGGAACCAUACAAUAAACAGUCAACACAAUAUCCUAAAUAUGCCCUGAAAAAAAU